CGAACGAGUUUAGGCUCGUGGCGUACGGCUCAGUAACACGUGGAUAACCUACCCUUAGGAUCGGGAUAACCUUGGGAAACUGAGGAUAAUACUGGAUAGGCAAUUAUUCCUGCAAUGGUUUUUUGUUUAAAUGUUUUUUCGCCUAAGGAUGGGUCUGCGGCCGAUUAGGUAGUUGGUUAGGUAAUGGCCUACCAAGCCGUUGAUCGGUACGGGUUGUGAGAGCAAGAGCCCGGAGAUGGAACCUGAGACAAGGUUCCAGGCCCUACGGGGUGCAGCAGGCGCGAAACCUCCGCAAUGUGAGAAAUCGCGGCGGGGGGAUUCCAAGUGCCUUUCUUAACGGGAUGGCUUUUCAUUAGUGUAAA
rnacentral:rRNA from 1 species